rnacentral:rRNA from 1 species
UACGUAGGGGGCGAGCGUUGUCCGAAGUUACUGGGCGUAAAGCGCGCGUAGGCGGGCUGUUAAGUGAGAGGUGAAAGGCUGGGGCUCAACUCCAGCAGUGCCUCUCAUACUGGCAGUCUUGAGGGCGGUAGAGAGAAGUGGAAUGGCUGGUGUAGCGGUGAAAUGCGUAGAUAUCAGGAGGAACACCGAUGGCGAAGGCAGGUCUCUGGGCAUUAACUGACGCUGAGGAGCGAAAGCAUGGGGAGCGAACAGG